GAUGAACGCUGGCGGCGUGCCUAAUACAUGCAAGUCGAGCGAACGGACGAGAAGCUUGCUUUUCUGAUGUUAGCGGCGGACGGGUGAGUAAAACGUGGAUAACCUACCUAUAAGACUGGGAUAACUUAGGGAAACCGGAGCUAAUACCGGAUAAUAUUUUGAACCGCAUGGUUCAAAAGUGAAAGACGGUCUUGCUGUCACUUAUAGAUGGAUCCGCGCUGCAUUAGCUAGUUGGUAAGGUAACGGCUUACCAAGGCAACGAUGCAUAGCCGACCUGAGAGGGUGAUCGGCCACACUGGAACUGAGACACGGUCCAGACUCCUACGGGAGGCAGCAGUAGGGAAUCUUCCGCAAUGGGCGAAAGCCUGACGGAGCAACGCCGCGUGAGUGAUGAAGGUCUUCGGAUCGUAAAACUCUGUUAUUAGGGAAGAACAUAUGUGUAAGUAACUGUGCACAUCUUGACGUUACCUAAUCAGAAAGCCACGGCUAACUACGUG
rnacentral:rRNA from 1 species